rnacentral:snoRNA from 1 species
AUGCAUCUAUUUGACAGAGCUGGAGCAGUGACUAUCUACUUCUAAGGUUUCUACUACAGAUGCAAGAAGAAAAGAUUCUUACGCUUUCUGUCUGUAUGACUGUGGCAGCCAGGAUUGAAUGGGGAUUUGAGGA